rnacentral:rRNA from 1 species
AGAGCGAACGCUGGCGGCAUGCUUAACACAUGCAAGUCGCACGGGCAGGGGCAACCCUGUCAGUGGCGGACGGGUGAGUAACGCGUAGGUAUCUAUCCUUGGGUGGGGGACAACUGUGGGAAACUACAGCUAAUACCGCAUGAUGACCGAGGUCCAAAGCUCGCGAGAGCGCCUGGGGAGGAGCCUGCGUACGAUUAGCUAGUUGGUGGGGUAAAGGCCUACCAAGGCGACGAUCGUUAGCUGGUCUGAGAGGAUGAUCAGCCACAUUGGGACUGAGACACGGCCCAAACUCCUACGGGAGGCAGCAGUGGGGAAUAUUGGACAAUGGGCGCAAGCCUGAUCCAGCAAUGCCGCGUGUGUGAAGAAGGUCUUCGGAUUGUAAAGCACUUUCGACGGGGACGAUGAUGACGGUACCCGUAGAAGAAGCCCCGGCUAACUUCGUGCCAGCAGCCGCGGUAA